rnacentral:rRNA from 1 species
AUACGGAGGGUGCAAGUGUUAAUCGGAAUUACUGGGCGUAAAGGGUUCGUAGGUGGUCUAAUAAGUUAACUGUGAAAGCCCCGGGCUCAACCUGGGUAUGUCGGUUAAAACUGUUAGACUCGAGUACAGAAGAGGGUAGUGGAAUUUCAGGUGUAGCGGUGAAAUGCGUAGAGAUCUGAAGGAACACCAGUGGCGAAGGCGGCUACCUGGUCUGAUACUGACACUGAGGAACGAAAGCGUGGGGAGCAAACAGGAUUAGAAACCCUUGUAGUCC